rnacentral:rRNA from 1 species
AACGAACGCUGGCGGCAGGCUUAACACAUGCAAGUCGAACGCAUCCUUCGGGGUGAGUGGCAGACGGGUGAGUAACGCGUGGGAACGUGCCCUUCAGUUCGGGAUAACCCAGGGAAACUUGGGCUAAUACCGGAUACGUGCGAGAGCAGAAAGAUUUAUCGCUGAAGGAUCGGACCGCGUCUGUUUAGUUAGUUGGUGGGGUAAUGGCGCACAAAGGCGACGAUCAGUAGACGGUACGUGAGGUUGAUCAGCCACAUUGGGACUGAGACACGGACCAAGCUCCUACGGGAGGCAGCAGUGGGGAAUAUUGGACAAUGGGCGCAAGCCUGAUCCAGCCAUGCCGCGUGAGUGAGGAAGGCCUGAGGGUUGUAAGGCUCUUUCGUCCGGGACGAUAAUGACGGUACCGGAAGAAGAAGCCCCGGCUAACUUCGUGCCAGCAGCCGCCGUAACAC